rnacentral:misc_RNA from 1 species
AAGGCUUGACAUACGCCGGAAAACCCUGGAGACAGGGUCCCCCUUGUGGUCGGUGUACAGGUGGUGCAUGGCUGUCGUCAGCUCGUGUCGUGAGAUGUUGGGUUAAGUCCCGCAACGAGUGCAACCCUUACCCUGUGUUGCCAGCGUGCCUUUCGGGGUGACGGGGACUCACGGGAGACUGCCGGGGUCAACUCGGAGGAAGGUGGGGAUGACGUACCAGUAUC